rnacentral:lncRNA from 1 species
GCUUUAUUUUGUAGAUAGUUGUUCAAUUUGAUGUUCCUGCAGGUAGGGGGCCCUAUCACUGCAGGGUUCUAUUCCAGCAUCUUGCCCCACUUCCUAGCUCCUCCUGUAUACUUUAAAUCAUUUCUAGAUUACUUGUUUACUUAAUUCAAAGGACAUGCUGUAUAAAUACUUGUUAUGCUGUAUUGCUUAGGGAAUAAUGGCAAGAAAAAUUUUAUACGUGUUCAGUACAGAUGCAACCAUUUUUUUUUUUUUUGGUCCAAAUUGUUUUAAUCUGUAGUCGGUUAAAUCCACAGAUACAGAACCCACAGAUACUGAGGAUCAACUAUAGUUGUAUUUUAAUUCAUAUUUUUUAUGUAAAUUAUACCUCUUUUCCGCAGAAUUGCUCCUUUAUUAUCCAUGGUUCAAGCUAUAAAAUUGCACACUGACGCAGGGUCCAGUGUGGUUCCCCAUGCAGUCAGCAACUAUAAUUGUUCUCCUUACCCUGUGAGCGGUGUUUAUAGAUUUGGCUGAGUGAGAAUGAGGCUGGUGGGAAGAUGGCAAUGAAGGAGAUAGCAUGUUUUCCCUUCUGAAACAGGUUUAUCAAAGAUGAAAAGGAAGAGGUACCCUUCUGUCAUGGGUAAAAUGGAGUUUCCACAGCCACUGGGAAAGCCACUGGAACUUUAGUAGGUGCACCACACCCCUGCUUUCCUGGUUCAUGGCCCCUUUGACAUCCUCUUUGACCACCAGCUCCUCAAUUUCAACAACAUCAUUUUCGCCACCCCUGGGAGAGAACACUCAUGGGCCUUCAAAGCUAGUAGAUUAACUGCAUUAUCUUAGUUCGGGCUCAUCCAAAUCAAAUUUAUGUUAAGUUAGAUUUUAAGAGGGACAAAAGGUUUCUACUUUUUUUCAGCAUGAUCCUUCGUUUUUUACUAUAACAUGUACCUGUAAGGUAUUAUAUGUAAGUUUCUUUUGAAAGGUAAAAAGACUUCACCAAUGCAAAAUGAUUUUUAAAAAUAUCCUCAUUAUAACAGCAAAGGCUAAAUACAUUCCAGAAAUCCACUGUUCAUAUAGUUUAUCUCCUGGGGAUAGGGGAACCAGGAAGAACAGGAGUAACAUGUCCUGAAUGUUGCAAAGCAUAAUCUAUGCUGAUUUCAUAAAGUUUUUAGCUAAUGUAUCAGAAAUCCUUUCAAAGCUUUGGUAGUUGUUUGUGGCAGGAGGCAGCGUUGUCUGUAUAAUUUAUGAUGUUCUUAUAUUAAAUGGAAAAAAAUUAAAAGAAAUUACCAAUAUAAAAUGCCUAGC